rnacentral:ncRNA from 1 species
UCUAAACUGAUGUGCGAUGUUUUGGAUAGGUGCGGGUCUUGACGGGCGUAAGGGAAAAACCACUAGUUGUAUCUUUUUUUUGCUUAUUCCGUGGGUCGGGAUCGGGGCAUGUCCCCUCCUUUUGGCUCCAAGGCCCAGUUUUAUCGGGCCGAUCCGGGCGGAAGACAUUGUGAGGUGGGGAGUUUGGCUGGGGCGGCACAUGUGUUAAAAGAUAACGCAUGUGUCCUAAGAUGAGCUCAGCUAGAACAGAAAUCUCGUCUGGAACAAAAGGGUAAAGGCUCGUUUGAUUCUGAUUUCCAGUACGAA